rnacentral:lncRNA from 1 species
GCGUAUGUGUUUGGGAAAUUUCUAUUUGGCAUAUUGUAUCUUCUGUAAUCUAGGAUCUUGAUUGCUUUAGAAAGGUACUUAUAAAAGAAAAGAACAGUCUUAAAUACAUGACUAAAGCAAUCAUCUUCUUAUACCUACAUCUAAUAGUGUCAAAUACAAAUCAGAAUCUCCAUAUCAUAUACCCGCGCCGCGCAUGCGCUCACGCGCCACGUGCGCUCGACAACGGAAGAAUUGCAUUUUAUUGGUUUUUUACAAUAUCUAUCGCAUUUUAUCAAUUUUUAACGAUGGUGCAAUUAGAUUCGAGUAGCGUGCAGUUUAUUUAUGUUUAAAAAAAUGCGAAUUUCCAAGUAUAUAAUCUGAGUUUAACCUUAUAAGUUGCGCGAUCUUGACCUAUUUUUUAUUCGUUAAUUACGGGGGUGCAAUUAAAAUAAUUGUUAUUUUUGGAAGGUGCUAUUAAAAAUACGUGCCUCUAUAUUUUUUUUUAUACCGAUAUUCCAAAUUCGUAGGCUGGGGUAGGGUAGGUGCGCGACGUGGCAGCAUUUUGCUGUCACGAAAAUCAGGCAGAAUGAGGGCGUAUUUUUUUGGAAAUUUUUAUCCAGCGUACAUGUGUGCCCUGUGAUAGCACACAGUUGGCACAACAUGCGGACAAAAUUUAAAUAAUCGUGUCAGCAAUCUGUCGGCUGUUGGACGACCCAAGUUGAGAGCUGCGCAAAAUAUAUCGUUUCAAAUAACAACUCCUGGUGCACGAGCUGUCCUUGCCUACAUCCACCAGCAGAGGCUGAUAGGAAGCGGGUCCAGGAAGCUGUACCUGCAGCAUCAUCGCAGAUACUUCUUUCAUCCUUCUUUUCUUUCCCUUUUCUUAAUUAUUUACUUUCCUUUUUCAACUAUUAUAACAAUAGAUGUGAACUCUCUUCUCUUAUUUCUGAAAUAAUUUCUCUUUGUCGAGGUACCAUCAUCUUCUUGGGGAUUGCUGAACGAAGCUGCUCUUCUUCUGGAACAUCUAGCUGUCCAUGUAACUUCAAAAAAACAAGUUCAAAGUUACACCAACAAAAAAGGUUCAAAACUUAGAAGUUCAACGAAACACCAAGGCCAUCAAGGUACUCUGCACUUCUGGACUGGAAAACUGCAGCUAACAGGAUAUUCGCAGUCAAUCUCUUCGUUAGCAGUUCCUCGAUAAGGGUCUAACAUUUUGCCCAAGUGUCUACAAGUUGUUUACUUGAUGACUGUGGCUGUGCAUCUGGUAUGUUCCCGCCAUGUCUCUCUUGAUGCGCAACACAGAAGUAAAGUGUCUAGUAAAAGCUAGUGCAAGUCUUGUGCGGGGAAGGAAAAUUAUUAGGGAUUAGCAUGUGAGGGAGUAGGCUAGUUAAUCUAAGAUCUCUUCGAGCCUGAACAUCCACACGCGUUUAUAGCCAGAAAAAGCCUAUGAUUCUUACAAUGAAUGAUAAAGUGAUCUUUUAAGUUUUAUUUAAGUUUGCCUAUUCUUUCUAUGCACUGACUAUUAUACAAAGGUGAUAUAUAUUUUUAUAGUAAAAAAUCGAAUAAGAAUAAAAAAUACAAUAGUCUCUGCAGCCAUAAGAGAUUCACUUCAUUAAUUAUUGUAAGAAAUUACAGACUUAUUCUGGCUAAGCGCAUGCAGGUGUUAAGAUUGUAAUAUAUAUGUAUUAUAUAUGGCGUGAUAUUAUUAAUUAACUGAUUUUAUUGCUCUUGCGCUUGUUUAUUAUAAUUGUAUUUUUUAUCAUUAUUUAAAUUUGUUUUACUUGAUAUUAAUAAAAAAUAAUUUCAUUAAAAUAAA